ensembl:misc_RNA Metazoa_SRP Metazoan signal recognition particle RNA
GCGGGGUAUGAUGGUGUGCACCUGUAGCCCCAGCUACCCAGAGGCUGAAGCCAGAGGAUGGCUUGAGCCCAGGAGUUCCGGGCCAUCUGUGCUAUGCUGAUCAGGUAUCUGUGCUAAAUUUGACAUCAAUGUGGUGACCUCUUGGAAGUGAGGGACCUCUAGGUUACCUAAGAAGGGGUGAAUUGGCCCAAGCUGGAAAAGAGCAGGUCAGAACUCCUGUGCUGAUCAGGAGUGGGAUCGUGCCUGGGAAUAGCCACUGCCCUCCAGCCUGGGUAACAUAGUGAGACCCCAUCUCU